rnacentral:lncRNA from 1 species
GUUAGUCCGGAACAAUCAAAUCAUGAAUCAAUCAUGUUGAGUCCCUUCCUAUUACGUAAAAACCUUUCCAAUUACGAGCCAAUUGUUCCACGAAUCAAAUUGAUUGAUUGAUUGAUGAUUAAUUACGGUCUAUCCGGAAUAAUCUGAUCACAAAUCACGUCGAGUCUCUUCCAAUUUCAUUGAAACCCUUCUAAUUAUGAGCCCAAUAAGCAUGUAAACAAAUUAAUUGAUUGCUUGGAUCUUUUGAUUGAUUGCUCAGAUCUUUUGUUUGAUCGAUUGAUUGAAGCAUGUAUUAUUUUC